rnacentral:rRNA from 1 species
GACGAACGCUGGCGGCGUGCUUAACACAUGCAAGUCGAACGGAAAGGCCCUGCUUUUGUGGGGUGCUCGAGUGGCGAACGGGUGAGUAACACGUGAGUAACCUGCCCUUGACUUUGGGAUAACUUCAGGAAACUGGGGCUAAUACCGGAUAGGAGCUCCUGCUGCAUGGUGGGAGUUGGAAGGUUUCGGCGGUUGGGGAUGGACUCGCGGCUUAUCAGCUUGUUGGUGGGGUAGUGGCUUACCAAGGCUUUGACGGGUAGCCGGCCUGAGAGGGUGACCGGCCACAUUGGGACUGAGAUACGGCCCAGACUCCUACGGGAGGCAGCAGUGGGGAAUAUUGCACAAUGGGCGGAAGCCUGAUGCAGCAACGCCGCGUGCGGGAUGACGGCCUUCGGGUUGUAAACCGCUUUCGCCUGUGACGAAGCGUGAGUGACGGUAAUGGGUAAAGAAGCACCGGCUAACUACGUG